GACGAACGUUGGCGGCGUGCCUAAUACAUGCAAGUCGAACGAAGUCGCCCAAUUGAUUCUUAGUGCUUGCACUAAGAUGAUUUUGGAUCCGACUGAGUGGCGAACUGGUGAGUAACACGUGGGUAACCUGCCCAGAAGAAGGGGAUAACACCUGGAAACAGAUGCUAAUACCGUAUAACAACAAGAACCACAUGGUUCUUGUUUGAAAGCUGGCCUUUGUGCUAGUGCUUCUGGAUGGACCCGCGGCGUAUUAGCUAGUUGGUGAGAUAAUAGCUCACCAAGGCAAUGAUACGUAGCAGACCUGAGAGGGUAAUCUGCCACAAUGGGACUGAGACACGGCCCAUACUCCUACGGGAGGCAGCAGUAGGGAAUCUUCCACAAUGGACGAAAGUCUGAUGGAGCAACGCCGCGUGAGUGAAGAAGGGUUUCGGCUCGUAAAACUCUGUUGUUAGAGAAGAACAGCCGUGAGAGCAACUGCUCAC
rnacentral:rRNA from 1 species